UACGUAGGCAGCAAGCGUUGUUCGGAAUUAUUGGGCGUAAAGAGCUCGUAGGCGGCUUGUCGCGUCGUCCGUGAAAACCCACAGCUCAACUGUGGGCUUGCGGUCGAUACGGGCAGGCUAGAGUUCGGUAGGGGAGACUGGAAUUCCUGGUGUAGCGGUGAAAUGCGCAGAUAUCAGGAGGAACACCGGUGGCGAAGGCGGGUCUCUGGGCCGAUACUGACGCUGAGGAGCGAAAGCGUGGGGAGCGAACAGG
rnacentral:rRNA from 1 species